UUUUUUCUCCCUUUGUUAAAUAGAAGUGCAGCAAGAGGUGUGAGGCAAGAGAGAGUUUAGGAGAAUUUUUUUAAAUUUCUUACUUGCAAGAGCUCAAGUGAGCUCCCUUCGCCGGGCUGUUUCUUCGCCGACCGGCCACUAGGCUCUGAACCGAGAACGUGUACUCGUUCCUCCAUCUUCAGGCUACCAAACCCAACAAUCGAAAGGCCAAAGCCUUCUCUAUAUUUUCCUGACCAAAGGCCGCAAUAUCCUUCGGAGGCCAACGUCGAAUUCCCGACUUAGCCACCGGCCAACUUACGGCUUUCGUUUUCUCACUAUCCUUACGCGAAAAAGGAUUGAGAAAACACCGUUGUGUAGCCUGAUCUACCUCGCACGAGGAAGACUAAGUCGUAGACCUUCGCGGCUAAACACCAUCGCGGAACGACGACCAGAAAACCCCGACGAACAACUUCCAUUAGUGCUCACUUGGACAAGGGUAAGUUAACGCCCUUAUUUCGAUGCAUUCCCGUUUCUAUUAUAUUAUGGGAAAUUUCUGGGGUAUAGAUGGGAGUGUGGUGAAUAUUUGUACAAAGUUUCAUGUUAUUUGAACUUCGUUUACCACCCUUUUAAAAUUUGAGAAGUCUACUGCCCGUAUCUGUUGAAACUGUCGUGAGGCAGAUGAUUAGGUUAAUUAUUUCAGUAACCAUAUGUUGAUAUUUAGCUCUCAAAUUUUUAUUGUAUGAAGAUAUAUGUGUUAGCUAUCUUCAUAUAAAAUUUGAGGUUAUUCCGGUAACGUUUGCUAUUUUUCAAAAAUCUGGACUUUCAGUUGGCAGAAACUGCCGAAUCUGGUAGGCGAUGGGAAAAUCGCUAUAUCUCUUAAACUACUUGGAGUUUUUCAACAUACUUUUUUUUCAAUUAAACUAGACUCAAAGAGGUUUUUAUUGAUAUAAAAUUCGACUCCAUACGAGUUCGGAGUAAAAGCAGUUUAUUAGUUGAAGUUGAAUCUAUACAGUUUUGUUGAGAUGGAAAUGAUUCAAAAUAAUUCCUAUUAAGGAUUUUAAAGUUUAUUGUUGAUAAAAUAUCACUUUUAGAUUAUAAAUGAGCUAUUGAUGUGUAUAUAUAUAUAUUGGUGAUUGGACAUUAAUUAAAGUAGGGAAAAGGAAAACGUUUUAUGUUUAUAGAAUUAUUCUUUAUUUAUAAUAGAUAAAUAAAUGAAUAAUAUAAAAUGGAAUUUCCUACAUCCUCAAAGGUACAUGAAAUAUUUUGAUAAAGGAAGAACGAUUGUAUAUGAGUUAGAUAUAGUCGUUUAAGGAAAUAUGGGUAGUUAGAGAAAUGAGUGAAUAGUGAUUCACUGCAUUUGUUGUUAUCUUUUCUAUUAUUCACUCGAACACAUGUUUUCGUGUUAUCAAAGGUUCAAAUAAACAAAAGCGUCUGAGUAACCUAUCGCGCUAAGGAAAGAGAAUCAUUGUCUUAAGUAGCAAAACAC
rnacentral:lncRNA from 1 species